GAACUCCAGGCUUGUCUUGGCUCCAAAUGGAUCCCAACUGCUCCUGCACCACAGGUGGCUCCUGUGCCUGCGCCGGCUCCUGCAAGUGCAAAGAGUGCAAAUGUACCUCCUGCAAGAAGA
rnacentral:sRNA from 1 species